GGAUGCGAUCAUACCAGCACUAAAGCACCGGAUCACAUCAGAACUCCGAAGUUAAGCGUGCUUGGGUGAGAGUAGUACUAGGAUGGGUGACCUCCUGGGAAGUCCUCGUGUUGCAUCCC
rnacentral:rRNA from 1 species